GCACUGGUGAAGAGUCCCAUAAUAGGACGAAACAGCUGUUUAGUGC
rnacentral:hammerhead_ribozyme from 1 species